UGGGGCUCGAUCCCACAAGAUCAUGACCUGAGCCAAAACCAUGAGUCAGACACCCAACCACCUGAGCCACCUAGGUACCUCUGAAACUUGUAGGUCUAAAGACUUAUCUAGAUCAUUAAGCUUGAAUAUUUUAGAUUAUUAGAUAUAAUUUAGAUGUAUUUAGAUUAUUAGAUAUAAUGAAAAGUAAUAUUGUUUGGAUGGGCAGGAAUACUAUUCAAAUGAUUUGAAAUAAAGGAUUUUUCUUUUAAAGAUCUUAUUUAUUUGUCAGAGAGAGAGAAUGAGAGUACACAAGUAGGAGGAGCCACAGGCAGAGGGAGAAGCAGGCUCCCCACUGAGCAGGGAGCCUGUGCAGUCUCACAACCCUGAGAUCAUGACCCUGAGCUGAAACCAGAAGUCAGGCACUUAACCAACCGUACCACCCAGUUGCCCCCCCUCCUUUUUUUUUGGCAAUUCUUACUUUUUAUUACAUAACAAUAUACAUUUUUCAUAGAAAAUUUAGUAAACAAAAUAAUGAAAACAGAGGUUACUUCUAAUUACUUCUAAUAAAGAAGGAUAACUUUCUGGAGAAUGUAUAUCACCAUACUAGUCACUCAAAAAGGCUUUGAUACUCAUUCAUAUUUCAGAAUUCUAGUCAGCCAGUGGCUACAUUUAAUACUUCUUUAAGCUAAUGAGAAUGGUUUUUCAUCUUCACAUAUUUUAGUGGCUGAAUUAUCAAGGCACCAUUGAGAGUUUGGUCAAUUUUUUAUUAAGUACAUUCAGAUUUUUGCUUAAUACCUAAGGUAGUUGUUUUGACUGAUAAAUAUUUUAGUCUUUUUGAUUAAAUACUAACAAAGGCUUAGUUUAAGUGGCUAUUGUUUUCUCACUAUUAAUUAGACAUUCCUCAGAAUGUGAAAGCAAAAAAGAACCUUAAAAAUGGUCUUGUUUGCCUUCUCAUUUUACAAAUGAGGAAACUGGCUUCUUCCAAUCUUUUGUUUCCAAUGACUUCUUAGUUUAGAUUGUGUUGUGCUUGAUUGCAGUCCUUUUCCUUUCUGGUCAGGCUGUUUUUCCAUCUCUCAGCCAGUGGUACAAAGAACAGGGAAACUGAAGAGAGGAGAAAGCAUGUGCCAGAGAAGUAGAAGGAACCGGUGUAUGUCUGGGUGUGAUCAUAUAACCAGCCUGGAAGGAAGGAGUGGUCUCUGUUAGUGAAGCAGACAUUUCAGGUAGUAGUUCUCAGCCCUAUACUGUGUCGAGGGAAGGAGCCUUUUCUCUUUGCUAGUAUGUAUUGUGACCCAUUAGGAAGUUAGUCUAGCUGCUGGCCUUAUUUUCUGUUGAUGAAGGUAAAUCUGUUCCACCUUGUUAAGGACUUAACCCUGUGGGGGAGAAAGUCAUCGUGGACUCAGAACUCAUCUGCUGUCUUACAGUUAGGGAUAUAUACCAUCUGAUUUUACGACAUAUAUAUAUAUAUUUAUAUUUAUAUUUCUUAAAUCUUAUUUAUUUAUUUGACAGAGAGAGACACAACGAGAGAGGGAACACAGGCAGGGGGUGUAGGAGAGGGAGAAGCAAGGUUCCCACCAAGCAGGGAACCCAAUGCAGGGCUCGAUCCCAGGACCCUGGGAUCAUGACCUGAGCCAAAGGCAGAUGCUUAAUGACUGAGCCAUGCAGGCACCCCUGUGAUGCUUUUUGUUUUGUUUUAAGAUUUUGUUUAUUUGAGAGAGAGCACAGAGAGAGGAGAAGCAGACUCCCUGCUGAGCAGAGAACCUGACGUGGGUCUCAGUCCCAGGACCCCAAGAUUAUGACCUGGGCCGAAGUUAGACGCUUACCAAACUGAGCCACCCAGGUGCCCCUGAUUUUACGAUGAAUCUUAUUAGAAGGUCACUGUUCUUACAAAGAAAAUAAUAGUGAAUUACUACUACUUUCCAAAGAAAAAGGUGAUAGUAGUAUCUUUUUUCCCUCACUGAAGCUACAUUUCCAACAGUGUGCUAGUUGUUGGAGGAGAGAAUGAUAAUGAGCCAAAACAGACGUGCUCCCUGCCCUCACAGACUGUACAGUUUCAUGUGAGUUGGGUAUUAACUACAAGACUUAUGUAUGUCAUAAGGGCUAUGAAGGGAAGGUUCAGGAGGCUUUGAGAGCAUGUGAAAAGGAAGUGACUGCUUGAGACGCCUGGGUGGCUCAUUUGGUUAAGUGUCUGCCUUCGGCUCAGGUCAUGAUCCUGGGGUCCCAGGAUCCAUUCCCGUGUUGGGCUUUUUGCUUAGUAGAAAACCUGCUUCUCCCUCUGCCUGCCACUCCCACUGCUUGCAUUCUCUCCCUCUCUCUCUCUGACAAAUGAAUAAAUGAAAUCUUUAAAAAAAAAAAAAAGGAAGUGACUACUUAGGUGAGUUAAAUGAUGACUGUAAGUCCCUCUGAAAUCAAAUGUUCUUUUAAAGGAAGAAUGAGUGGGUAUCAUUGGCUAAUGGCACAUACCAGAACUUUUUAAAUGAAACACUUUUCUUAAAAAACUGAGUGGCAAAGAAUAUUUGUACAAGGAACUGGCUUUUAAACGUUGUUGUACAAGUCAGCCCUGUGAAAUGGCAAAUAACGUCCUAGUAUCAUUAUUGUGAUAGUUUGACCUCCAAGGCUUUGUAAAAAGGUCUUAGAACUUCCAGAUGUCCACUGACCACACUCAGAACCUCUUUUCUAAAGUAGUAUAUGCAUAUUAUGUUUGUAGAUACAAAUUGGCUUUUAAUCCCAAAAUACCUUAAAAAGUUAAAGCUGUUAUUUGAUUAUUUAUUCAAAGAAGUUUUGGUGCUAUGUGCCAAACAGUUCUAGGUACUGGAGGUAUAUCUGUGAAUGAAACAGAUGGAAAUAUCUGGCCUCAUGGAGUUUUAUGUUGUUAUCUUUUCAUUUAUAUUUUGGAACAUGAUUUCUCACUGAAUGUGUAGCAAGUGAGUGUGUAUACCCUCUUUUUUUGGUCUGAUUGUGUAUGUCUUUAUCUCCUUUUUUUUUUUUUUAAAUUUGGUUCUGAUAUAAACAUUUAGUUUUUUGUUGGCUUCAUUAGCUUUGUUUCCUGUUCUUUUUUUUUUUUUUUUUUUUAAGAUUUUAUCUAUUUGUCAGAGAGAGAGAGAGAGGGAGGGAGGGAGCGAGGGAGCGCAAGCCAGGGGAGUGGGAGAGGGAGAAGCAGGCUUCCUGCAGAGCAGGGAGCCCAACAUGGGGUUUGAUCCCAGGACCUUGGAAUCAUGACCUGAACUGAAGGCAGAGGCUUAACGACUGAACCACCCAGGUGCCUCUAAGUUUCCUAUUCUUGACAUAGUGAAUAAAUGGAAUGCUUUAUAGCCUCUUAAAUUUAGCUACCUUUCACUUGCUUUUUACCUGUUAACUCCUGUUGGAUCAGUGACCUCUAACUAGUUAAAUGUUUCUCAGUGUUAAGCAAAAAAGUGGAGAGAAACUGACUAGGACAAGUUUUUGUAUUAAUGUUGAUUGUGAUUAGCCUUGAGAUAUCAAAGAGAUGGGUAAGUUACAGUCUCAAAUUUCUAGAAAGGAGGAAGUACAGAAAACACCAACAUGCCUUCCUGUUUUCCUUGUCAUUCUUGCUUUACUCCCACCAGUAUAGCAGAUUUAUCGAAUUAUAAGGUAAGCAUUAGAAGUAAUGGUCUGGAAAAGAGUAGUAAUUCUUACUUAAGGAAGUAGAUUGUGCUGCUAAAAAGUCAGGAGGGUGUAGGUAAAAAUAGUGGAAAAUGGUGGGUGGUGAUGCUGGUUGUCUAUAAAUCCUAGAAAACUGGUAAUAUGAUUUUCAUAAACACAUUUAAAGUCAAAAUGUUUCUGAAAGAUGAAAAUAUAUUUAAUAUAUUUUCUUCUUACCAGGGCAGGGAAUUAUUUAGCAUAAUUUAGAACAUUCCCUGUAUUUCCUUGUGAAAUUUAAUGAAAUAAUUAGUUUUAAAUCUGUUUCUCUUGGGGCACCUAGAUGGCUCAGUUGCUUGGGCAUCUGCCUUUGGCUCAUGAUCUCCACGUCCUGGGAUUGAGCCCUGUGUUAGGCUCCCUGCUCAUGAUCUCUUUCUCUUAAGUAAAUAAAAAUUAAAAUAAUAAUAGUUAAAUCUGUUUCCUCUUACUCUUACUUGAUAAUUGAGAUAGUAGUAAACUUUAAAAAUUCUAUUUCAAAGAUCCAGUUGCCAUUCGGUAGGUUAAUCCAGUGCUGCUGAGUAUUUAGUUUUAUAUUUAUAUUUAUAUUUAUAAAAUUUGCAAAAUACAAAUGAAAUGUAGAGUGUAGGGUUAUUUCAUAUUAUUGACUGUUUUGUGAAUGUAUUAGCUGUUAUAAGCUUAGAUUUACAUGGCUACUAAGUAAGUUAAAUUCAGAGCUUCGUUGGUAUUGAAAUACCUAUUUGGUUAGAAAAAUCAGCCUUUUCCCACUACCAAAAGUACAAGAAGACUGUAUAUUUGGUCUGAUUUUAUUAGAUCUCUGUGCUUUUUUGGUAUCAGUAUGGAAAAGCUGUGUACAAAUGCACUUUCAACCCUAAACAGUUCAAGGCUCCUGUGGGUAUAUAUUUUUUAAAUUAACAUAUAAUGUAUUAUUAGCCCCAGGGGUACAGGUCUGUGAAUUGUCAGGCUUACACACUUCACAGCACUCACCAUAGCACAUAACCCUCCCCAGUGUUCAUAACUCCUCCACCUUUUUCCUCCCUCCCUUCCCCCAACAACCCUCAGUUUGUUUUGUGAGAUUAAGAGUCUCCUAUGGUUUGUCUCCCUUCUGAUCCCGUCUUGUUCCAUUUUUCCUUCCCUACCCCCCAAGUCCUCCACUCUGCCUCUCAAAUUCCUCAUAUCAGGGAGACCAUAUUGAUAAUUGUCUUUCUCUUAUUGACUUAUUUCACUCAGCAUAAUACCUAGUUCUAUCCACAUCGUUGCAAAUGGCAAGCUUUCUUUUUUGAUGGCUGCAUAGUAUUCCAUUGUGUAUAUAUACACCACAUCUUCUUUAUCCAUUCAUCUGUUGAUGGACAUUUAGGUUCUUUUCAUAGUUUGGCUCUUGUGGGCAUUGCUGCUAUAAACAUGCGGGUAUGUUUUUAAAAGAAAGGAUUGUUGGUAGUUAAGAACCUAUCAUAGUCUAACUACUUUAAAUGUAAAUACCUAAGUUGACAUUUAAAAGACAGGGUUCCUUUGUGGUCCUAGCAAAAGCAUUUUGAAUGAUGGAGAAAGACAAGAUAAUAUACUAGCCAUGAUCCAAAGGAGUGUUGCAUCUAUCUAAGUGUCUACUGCAUGGAGCCAGCAGUCUGAGGAGUAGUGCACUAGCAGCUGGUACAGACUGCCUAAGCUACAGUGCCGUGUAAACACUUCCUCAUUGUUUACAGACUACCUGCCUCAGUCUCAUCUGAGAUGCGAGUUCAUCGUGCAGAGUCCUUGGCUUCCCUUAAGCAUAAUUCAUCAUGGGGUGACCCAGUCGAUUCUUAUGCACAAGAAAAUUGUAGUCCAAAUUAUUUUCCUUUGCCUCUGGCUCUAACCCUUAUUUUAAGCAGCGAUGUCUAAUAAUGUUUCCUUUUGAUAAUUGAAAACAAUUAAGGACGUAGGGCUCAGCUUCCAUAAACAGUUUCGCAAAUGAGUUUUUUAAAUAGUCUGUCAAACUUGAUAUUAAAAUAGGAUUCUAAAUUUUUUUAGACGUCAACACUUUUAAACUAUUCUGCAUCAUUUUAUGGGCAAAGCUAUACAUAUUUAAAAAUAAGGGUAACGUCCUGUCUAAAAGUACCUCUGGGGCACCUGGGUGGUGUGGUUGGUUAAGUAUUUGCUAUCUGCUCAGGUCAUGACGCCAGGGUCCUGGGAUCGAGCCCCACAUCAAGCUGUCUUCUUAGCGGGGAGCCUGCUCCUCCCUCUCCAUGCACCUGCAACUCCCCCUGCUUGUGCUCUCUGUCUCUCUCUCUCUGUGUCAAAAUAAAUAAAAAUCCUUAAUAAAAAAAUAGUACCCCUGAUAUCUCAGAACUAGAUUGUUGAGCUGAGUUAUUAAUCCUUUUUUAAAUUAAUUAAUUGAUUUUAAGAGAGAGAGGGCACUGGAGCAGGGGGAGAGCCAGAGUGAGAGAAACUCAAGCAGACACAGUGCUGACCAUGAAGCCUGACACAGGGUUUGAUCCCAUGACCCUGAGAUAAUGACCUGAGCCAAAAUUAAGAGUCAGAUGCUUAACAGACUGAGCCACCCAGGUGCCCCAUGAAUCCUUUUUAUUAGGAUUACUACUGUAGGUAUAUUAUUGGUUAUCUUGUUAAAACUUGAAAUAUACCCAUAAGGCCCUUAAUUCCCAAGUUCCUGGAUGCUAGUUCAAAUUAGUGGUUGAGAAUUCCGUAAGUGACUAGUGGGUGUUGAACCAGAACUUCCAACUGUUGGGCAGACUUCCAAGGUGUAGAGAGACAAUGAUCUUGUCGUCACUGGAGCCACCAGCUGGCUUACUAUGACCUGAGCCAAAACCAGGAGUCAGCUGCUCAACCAGCUGAGCCACCCAGACCCCCCAAACCUCACUGCCUUUUAAGACAGGAGCUCUCUAAAGUCCCUAUGUAAGGAAGAUUUAUCAGGAGUACUUUAUGCAAGGAAUUUUAUUAAAAGGAUUGUGCCCCUGUGUUAGGAUUUUGAAGCUUGAUUUUUUGGCUUUGUGAAGAAAAGACUACUCCACCCUGGCCCUCUUUUUAACCAUAGUAGAGAACUAUUUGUAGUUUAUUUUUGAGAUUUUUGUAGGGAUUCAUUAAUCUUAGGAAUACUGAAUCAAAUUACAAUUCUUUGGGGCCUUAUUGUUUAUGGGGAAAAUAAUCACAUAGAAUUAAUGAUCUACAUUAUUUUCUUUUGGUUCUUCAGGGUAGAAUAUAUUCCUCAGGAUUUAGAGUAUAGAGAACUCUGCUCUGCUUUCUUAGUUAUCUCUACCUACCCCAGCCUCCAAAGUGGAUUUAUAGCAAAUCAGAAGGUUGAAUUGUUUUAUUUGUUUUCCAAAUAAAAUUUCAGGUCAUAGAGAAGUUUUCAACUGAUUGGCCAAGGUGAUAAAACUGUAGAGGGUAGGGUUGAUAAAAGGUGGAGUGAGGUGCCGGAGGGAGUUAUUUGUUUCACAUUAUUACAUCUGAAAUGAGGCUCCAGUAGAGAGAGGGAGUGACCAUUUCAUGAGGAGAUGACCUUAUCUGGAUUAAUGGGACAGAGACAAACUUAGAUGGAUGAAUUUCCAUUUUAGCCUUUGUCUGCUCUUACAAAACACAGAUGAAAAAUUAGUGUAAAAUUGCCAGUUUCCCCCCAUGGUAUUUCUGAUGAGGUGGGAGGUUGACAAAUAAUAGCAAGAUUCUCUUUUUCUUUUUAGGAACCGUGUAACUUACUCUGGAGUAGAACUAGCUUAUAGUUGUUCAGCUUUAGAAAUGGCUCUCCUUGAAUUUGUAAAAAAAAUAAUUUUUGUGAAAUACCUACGACUUGAUAGAAGCUUCAAUAUUUUUUAAGGUCAUUUUUAUUAUACCACAGCUCGGGAUACCUUUAUUUAAAGGUAAAACUGUGUGUGUGUGUGUCUGUGUUGCGCGCGCGCGCGCGCGCGCAAAACACGGAAUGUUACUUAGCCUUCAAAAAGAUGACCCUUUUGCCACGAUGUAGAUGGAACUAGUGAGUAUUAAUGCUAAGCAAAAUAAGUCAGUCAGAGAAAGACAAUCAUCGUAGGAUUUCAUUCAUAUGUGGAAUUUAAGAAACAAAACAGAGGAGUCUAGGGGAAGGGAGGGAAAAAUAAAAUAAGAUGAAAUCAGAGAAAGAGACAAACCAUAAGGGACUCUUAACCAUAGGGAAAAAAACUGAGGGUUGCUAGAGGGGACGUUGGGUUUGGGAAGGGAUAAAUGGGUGAUGGGCAUUAAGGAGGCCACGCGAUGUAAUGAGCAUUGGGUGUUACAUACAACUGAUGAAUCACUGAACUCUAACUCUGAAACUAAUAAUAUACUGUGUGUUAAUUAAUUGAAUUCAAAUUAAA